GCAAAUCCCAAAAAUAAACGUCCCAGUUCGGACUGUAGUCUGCAACCCGACUACACGAAGCUGGAAUCGCUAGUAAUCGCGGAUCAGAAUGCCGCGGUGAAUACGUUCCCGGGUCUUGUACACACCGCCCGUCACACCAUGGGAGCCGGGAAUGCCCGAAGUCAGUGGCCUAACCGCAAGGGGGGAGCUGCCGAAGGCAGGCCCGGUGACUGGGGUGAAGUCGUAACAAGGUACC
rnacentral:rRNA from 1 species